rfam:Drosophila sechellia strain Rob3c scaffold_4985 genomic scaffold, whole genome shotgun sequence.
AUUCUGGUUGAUCCUGCCAGUAGUUAUAUGCUUGUCUCAAAGAUUAAGCCAUGCAUGUCUAAGUACACACGAAUUAAAAGUGAAACCGCAAAAGGCUCAUUAUAUCAGUUAUGGUUCCUUAGAUCGUUAACAGUUACUUGGAUAACUGUGGUAAUUCUAGAGCUAAUACAUGCAAUUAAAACAUGAACCUUAUGGGACAUGGGAUUUUAUUAGGCUAAAACCAAGCGAUCGCAAGAUCGUUAUAUUGGUUGAACUCUAGGUAACAUGCAGAUCGUAUGGUCUUGUACCGACGACAGAUCUUUCAAAUGUCUGCCCUAUCAACUUUUGAUGGUAGUAUCUAGGACUACCAUGGUUGCAACGGGUAACGGGGAAUCAGGGUUCGAUUCCGGAGAGGGAGCCUGAGAAACGACUACCACAUCUAAGGAAGGCAGCAGGCGCGUAAAUUACCCACUCCCAGCUCGGGGAGGUAGUGACGAAAAAAUAACAAUACAGGACUCAUAUCCGAGGCCCUGUAAUUGAAAUGAGUACACUUUAAAUCCUUAACAAGGACCAAUUGGAGGGCAAGUCUGGUGCCAGCAGCCGCGGUAAUUCCAGCUCCAAUAGCGUAUAUUAAAGUUGUUGCGGUUAAAACGUUCGUAGUUGAACUUGUGCUUCAUACGGGUAGUACAACUUACAAUUGUGGUUAGUACUAUACCUUUAUGUAUGUAAGCGUAUUACCGGUGGAGUUCUUAUAUGUGAUUAAAUACUUGUAUUUUUUCAUAUGUUCCUCCUAUUUAAAAACCUGCACUAGUGCUCUUAAACGAGUGUUAUUGUGGGCCGGUACUAUUACUUUGAACAAAUUAGAGUGCUUAAAGCAGGCUUCAAAUGCCUGAAUAUUCUGUGCAUGGGAUAAUGAAAUAAGACCUCUGUUCUGCUUUCAUUGGUUUUCAGAUCAAGAGGUAAUGAUUAAUAGAAGCAGUUUGGGGGCAUUAGUAUUACGACGCGAGAGGUGAAAUUCUUGGACCGUCGUAAGACUAACUUAAGCGAAAGCAUUUGCCAAAGAUGUUUUCAUUAAUCAAGAACGAAAGUUAGAGGUUCGAAGGCGAUCAGAUACCGCCCUAGUUCUAACCAUAAACGAUGCCAGCUAGCAAUUGGGUGUAGCUACUUUUAUGGCUCUCUCAGUCGCUUCCCGGGAAACCAAAACUUUUGGGCUCCGGGGGAAGUAUGGUGCAAAGCUGAAACUAAAGGAGAA